UACGUAGGUGGCAAGCGUUGUCCGGAGUUAUUGGGCGUAAAGCGCGCGCAGGCGGUGCGGUAAGUCUAUGGUGAAAGCGCUCGGCUUAACUGGGCGAGGGCCGUGGAGACUGCCGGACUGGAGGGGAGCAGAGGCGAGUGGAAUUCCCGGUGUAGCGGUGAAAUGCGCAGAUAUCGGGAAGAACACCUAUGGCGAAGGCAGCUCUCUGGGACGGUACUGACGCUGAGACGCGAAAGCGUGGGGAGCGAACAGG
rnacentral:rRNA from 1 species